GCCGGUGUAGCUCAGAUGGUAGAGCAACUGAAUCGUAAUCAGAAGGUCACAGGUUCAAUCCCUGUCGCUGGCU
rnacentral:tRNA from 2 species